AUCUCCAGAAGCUUUGCAACUUCUUUAUCCAUCUUCCCAAAAAGCGCUCCCCUUAACGUUUCGAGCUUCAAGAAUGAAACAAGCGCUUCCCUCACACGCCUGUGGUCGUCGCCUGUCCACUCCGGUCAUAUUUUUCUUACCAACAACCCAUCUAAAUGGCGGUGGCUGCUGAUGGGCCAGCGUGAUGCCAUCACAAGGGAAAAUAAACUUGUUUGCAUCCUGUCCAUGGAGGAAAACCGUUCGUCUCCGGAAAAGGCUGAAUUUGGAAACAGGACGAUAUUUUCUUGCCCUUUUUUUAGGCCAUUGUUCUGUAGUAUUUGACUACUAUUUGUGUGCAUGUCAUAUAAAAAGCUGAGCUCUUUGGCCUAUAAUGGAUAGCCCCAAAGAACCUGGUGGAAGCCUUUUUGAAGCUUUCUUGGUAAAGAUAAUGUAGAAAAGAGGGAGAAUGAAUAGAAGCAAGGAAAAAUAGAUUGCAGGAUUCAUGGCUAAUUCAAAGAAAUGGCAAAGGACAUGAAGUUAAGAGAGAUUAGUAAGGAAACGUUUUCGCUGUCUUUUGUUGUCAUUGUUGCUCAUGCACAUAUACAAAACUCCAAGAAAUUAAUACGUGAUGCAUGCACUAUAUAUUCUUGAGGUCUCUCUUGUUGGUAAUAUUAAUCUUUUGCUACUGUG
rnacentral:lncRNA from 1 species